CCGGGACCGGCGCACGGGUGAGUAACGCGUAUGCACCUUACCUAUCAGGAGGGGAGUACCGGCGAAAGUCGGACUAAUACCGCAUGAAGCAGGGGCCCCGCAUGGGGAUAUUUGCUAAAGAUUCAUCGCUGAUAGAUAGGCAUGCGUUCCAUUAGGCAGUUGGCGGGGUAACGGCCCACCAAACCGACGAUGGAUAGGGGUUCUGAGAGGAAGGUCCCCCACAUUGGUACUGAGACACGGACCAA
rnacentral:rRNA from 1 species